rnacentral:rRNA from 1 species
UACGUAGGGGGCGAGCGUUGUCCGGAAUGACUGGGCGUAAAGGGAGUGUAGGCGGCUGUGCAAGUUAGAUGUGAAAUCCCAUGGCUUAACCAUGGAACUGCAUCUAAAACUGCAUAGCUGGAGUGCAGGAGAGGUGAGUGGAAUUCCUAGUGUAGCGGUGGAAUGCGUAGAUAUUAGGAGGAACACCAGAGGCGAAGGCGACUCACUGGACUGUAACUGACGCUGAGGCUCGAAAGCGUGGGGAGCAAACA